AUUCCAGACUCCUACGGGAGGCAGCAGUGGGGAAUAUUGCACAAUGGGGGAAACCCUGAUGCAGCGACGCCGCGUGAGUGAAGAAGUAUUUCGGUAUGUAAAUCUCUAUCAGCAGGGAAGAAAAUGACGGUACCUGAUUAAGAAGCCCCGGCUAACUACGUGCCAGCAGCCGCGGUAAUACGUAGGGGGCAAGCGUUAUCCGGAUUUACUGGGUGUAAAGGGAGCGUAGACGGCAGCGCAAGUCUGAAGUGAAGUGCCGGGGCUUAACCCCGGAACUGCUUUGGAAACUGUGCAGCUAGAGUGCAGGAGAGGUAAGUGGAAUUCCUAGUGUAGCGGUGAAAUGCGUAGAUAUUAGGAGGAACACCAGUGGCGAAGGCGGUCUGCUGGACAGCAACUGACGGUGAGGCGCGAAAGCGUGGGGAGCAAACAGGAUUAGAUACCCGAGUA
rnacentral:rRNA from 1 species